AAAAUUCUUCUUCCUCCACAGGCGUCGGCGAGCCUACUGCAAGAGGGUGGUGGUACCCAGUGUUCUCGGUCCAGGACACAAGAGAUGGGCAGAACCUCGAGGUCUAACACAUACCAGAGAUCUGAACAGAGAGCAGACUUCACAGUACAUGGUGAAACACUAGCUGCACUUCCUGCAGGAGAAGAGGAAGCCUUCUACUGCUGCAUGGGCUCCUCACUGAUGCAGGAGGAGGAGGAGGAGGAGAGGGAAAGGAAGUCUGCAGUGAAACCAACCACUGAUCACAGAUCGCAGGUACUGUGGCUUCAGUCUCCGGUCCCCCUACUUCCACAAUUAAGGACUUUUCUGUAGC
rnacentral:lncRNA from 1 species